rnacentral:lncRNA from 1 species
GGCGAUGCUACAGCAGGAGGAGGAUGCUGAUUGUGAUAACCCGAUGAACUGUAGUGUCCACUGUCAGGAUACCCACCAGCUUGCAUUCCACCUGAACUUGGUAAUCUAUACAGGGAAGCAAGUCCAACACUACCUCCAGCAGAGCCAAGUCCACCACCAGUACCCGCACCAGUCACACCACUACCUCCUCCACCAUAACCACCGCCACCACCACUAACUCCUCCGCCAUAAGCACCGCCACCACCACUACCGCCAAAACCUGUUGCAGCAGGCCCACCAUAACCCCCAUAAUGACCACCACCAUAUCCAUCGGUACCACCCAUUGAAGAC